AUUGAACGCUGGCGGAAUGCUUUACACAUGCAAGUCGAACGGCAGCACGGGGCAACCUGGUGGCGAGUGGCGAACGGGUGAGUAAUACAUCGGAACGUGCCCAAUCGUGGGGGAUAACGUAGCGAAAGCUGUGCUAAUACCGCAUACGAUCUACGGAUGAAAGCGGGGGAUCGCAAGACCUCGCGCGGACGGAGCGGCCGAUGGCAGAUUAGGUAGUUGGUGGGAUAAAAGCUUACCAAGCCGACGAUCUGUAGCUGGUCUGAGAGGACGACCAGCCACACUGGGACUGAGACACGGCCCAGACUCCUACGGGAGGCAGCAGUGGGGAAUAUUGGGCAAUGGGCGAAAGCCUGACCCAGCGACGCCGCGUGGGUGAUGAAGGCCUUCGGGUUGUAAAACCCUUUCGUGCGGAAAGAAUAGUCCUGUAGCGAAUAACUACGGGAUUUGACGGUACCGCAGGAAGAAGCACCGGCUAACUCCGUGCCAGCAGCCGCGGUAAAAG
rnacentral:rRNA from 1 species